rnacentral:lncRNA from 1 species
GAGCUAAAAUGACCGAUGUGCUGUGCUGGUCAGGGUUCACUUGCAGACAGCAGAGUCUGCCCCGGCUAGUUACACAGAGGAGGAUUGAUUACCGGCUUUCAGUGACUCCCAGCAUCACUGCGGGGGCGGGGGGUGCUGAAGAAAUUGAAGACACUCCAGGCUGCCUCCCAAAGCCACACAGCAGAAAGGGGCCACCAAGAAGCUGAGAUUCUGUCGUCACCGGAGAGCCGCCUGCCUGCAGGCCAGCCCUGCAUGUGACUGUUGCUGCUGCGUGCACACCCGCUCAGUGCUGCCCUUCAUCCCACUUCCCCUCCCCAGCACAGGAAGGCGCCCCAGAGAGAGGCUGGAAUACACACUGUGUGAGCCAGUCUGCAGACUCUGCCAGAUGCCUAUGGAGACAUCCUUGUGAAAUUAGAAUAGCUCUUCUCAGUUUAUUUAUGGAAUCUUCUUGAAGAUCAAAGAUGCAGCACCGCUGUUGGUUUUGGUUUCCCCUAUUAUAACGGAGUCUGAAUGAAAGGUGGAACAACCCUAAGAUCAUAAUGCUGUUGAUUUAAUGUUGGAAGCUCCUCCAAGGAAGGGACCAUGCCAUGCAUUUAUUUACAUUUUACACAAAGGCUGUCAAAUGGGGCCAUCCUAGUGCCUGCGUGAUAGGGCAGCUGUCCUUGAAAUGAAGUGAUCACUCAAGCCCUUGUUGAAUGUGCACAAGAAUGAAUGAAUCAAUCAAUAAAUGAACCAAUGAUGCUCCAACAGGUGAGAUGCAACAGGAGGAUCAUGAGCUCUUGAGCCUAGGCCCAUUUCUGCUAAAGGAUUUCUCAUCCCUGAAAGCAAUGCCCAUCCCUCAAAGCCUUGCCUUUCCCUUUGAGAAUGAUCACACAUCUUGUUUCCUAUCUCAAUACCUCACUCAAAUUCCUUGGAGAUCCUGGCACAGCAGAUAGUCAGUAGCCUACGGUGUGAAUCGCCUCUGGAACUUUAAAAACUUGAAACCUGGAGAAUCUGAUUCAGCAGGUCUGGAGCAGGGUAGUGGGUCUGUGGGUUUCAUGAUGAACCUGAUGCCCACCAAACAAUGAGAGCCGCGGUCCUAAGGUAGAGGACCAAAGAGUUCACUCUGUUGCAAUUUUUGAGUGCUUGAAAGUAGUUUUGUUUUUGUUUUUCUUUGUGAGAAACUUUGCACUAAGACAGAAAGAUGAGUCUGUUUUUAAUAUCAUCCCUACGAAGGGAGCACCUCCACCAUAAUUACCCUGACGAGAUCUUUCAGAGAGCAUUUCCAACUCUAUCAUCUGGUUGGGGCUCGGCUAAAUCGUGAUUGCGUCCCUGAAAUACACUGAUGCCUACUUACCCUGCGUCACAUUGGUUUUACUGCAUAUUAAAGUGGACUUCUAGAAAGUUACAAAAGACCUGAAGAAUCCUAGUGAUUCCUCUCUGAUCCAAUGCAACAGUCACUCACAUCCACUGAGGUCCUCCUGGAAGCCAGGCCUGGUGUUUUCACGUGGUAUUUUCUCAUUCAAGCUUCACAGCAAUCCAAUGGGGUGAGGUUGUCUUAUCUCCAUCUUAAAGAUGAAGGAAGCCAGGCUCUCCCAGGCUACAUAAUUUGGCCAGGGCUAAGGCUCCAGGGCUCAGGGCCACCUGGGGCUCUAACUCCAAAGUCCUUAACCAUGGUGCCACCCUAUUUCCUAUUUGUAGCUCCAUUUGAAAAGUGUUAAUUGAAGCUUCCUUGAACUUUCCUUUGGAGUUUGUUGCCUUUUUUGUAGUUGUUAAAUCAAGAGGGUCAAAUAGCAAAACAAGAAGAAAAUUUAUAGAGCUCUAGGGAGUGGAUAACGGGAAACUGCAGGCCCAGCAGUGAAUUCCAUGCUGGGAAACCUUGGAUGGAAGGGGAUUCUGGUACCUCCUGUUAUUUUAGGUGGGGACUGAGUAUGAGUUAAUUUCCAGCUGCCCACACAGACCUUAUCAAUCAGGAUGGCUCCAUGACACUUGCCAACACCAUGCUGACAUUUGACCUUGCUGCCAUUUUAUGCUCACCUUACUUAAAUGACAAGGGAUAAUGAAUGUUUGCAACUGGUCAGGCAUCAGCACGUCAGAACGUGGAAGAUCACAGAGACUUGCAACUAGAAGAAUUUUUUGUUUGUUUGCUUUUAAAUGAAGCUAGGUGACUCUGCCUCCAAAGUCUUAGGAACUGCCUUGCUGGAGAGGCCACUACAGUAACGUAGACAAAGCUCUAAGCCACUACUCAUCACUGAGCUACAGGAACAAGAAGAAAAGUUUAGAUAAAGAGAAGUAAAGCAUUCUCCUAAUGCAGCCUAAGUAGAAAAUUGAACCCGAAAAACAAGUUUAUCAGCAUCAUUGAAACAAAAAGCAAUAUACAUUCAAUCAUAGUGUCACUUUAACAUGGCUGAAUUUUCAGAUACUCUGAUUUCCUGUUGGAGUUUUAGUACAACUAAGUAAGGGGUAGAUAUGGAAUCUGUUCCAUUUAUCAAGUACUGUGUAACAAACUAUCCCCAAACAUAGCGGCGAAAAACAACAAAAACACUUAUUUUGCUCUUGAAUCUGCAAUUCAGGCAGGGCUUGACAAGGAAAGCUUGUCUCUGCUCUGCUCACUGUCAGCCGGGACAGUUCAAAGGCAGGGGGCUAAAAUUAUCUGAAGCUCAGUCAUUCACAUGCCCAGGGAUUCACACUGACUUUUGGCUAGGACCUGAGCUAGGCUUGUCUGCCGGACAGCUACGCGUGGCCUCACGAUGUGACCUCACAACAUGGAAGCACCAUGUGCUUCCUCACAACAUGGCGGCUGGAUUUCAAUGAUGAGUGUCCUAAGAGAGAGAGGACAGCAGCUGUAUCACUGUUUGUGACCUGUCUCAAGAGCCAUGUAGCCUCACUUCCAUUGCCAUCUAUUCAUCGAGAUGACCACAAAGGCCCACCUGAAUUCAAUGGAAUGGCAAAAUAGAUCCUACCUCUUGCUGGGCAUAGUGGCAAGGUACAGAAGAGCAUGUGGGACUAGAAAUAGUGCAGUGUCCCUUUUUGGAAAAUACAAUUGGCCUCAGAAUCCACGGUGCAGGAUUGCCCCAGAAAGCCAUAUGAAUUAUUCUUUAUGGAAGUUGGACACUCUAAAGAGCAGAUGACCUUUGCCACCAUGAUAUGAUGUCCCACCCCUCUCUAAUGCCAACCUUCCAUCUGUCCCAGGAAGGGCUGUCUUCUCACAGUAGGUGUUGGGUAUUUCUGCCUCCCCUUUUGGCUUCUGCCCAACCAUACCCUCACCCCAUGCCUCCUCUAGCUGCUCUAGUUCACAAUAUUCUCUCUCUUCUCUGAACUUUUACUUCCUGUAGCACCGACAGAGCCUUGAUAUACUUCCUCCUCUCAUGAGUUAAUUUCCUUGUGUGCCUGUUUGCCUCAAAACCAGAUAAUAGGCCCUUGGCCCCUCUCCCUGUGUCAUGCACAGAGUGGGCAUUCAGUGAAUGGUUCUUGAUUUGAUUAUACAUUCAUGACGUCACCGUAAAGUUAGUCUCCCUGGGCUACAUAUCAACAUGGAAGAAAACUGCAGCCCCCUGACCUAUUAGAAGGAUGUGACAUCUCACGGGAGUGCUCAGUUGCCCUUCAAAGACAGGAAAAUAAAUGUCAGAUUUGGUUUUGUUUAUCUGAUCUUCAUGCAAUCACGGUUUCGUACCUCUGGGGGUGGAAAGAAUUGGACUGUUUCAUAAUUGUUUAGAGGUAAGCAUAAAAUGCACUAAGGCAUUGAACUCUGGGUGUGGUGAGAAAGAGAGAAGAUGGGAAGGGUGAGAAUUCAUGGAAUCUGGUUGGGUGCUCCUCAUUUAGUGCCUUUGUGUGGGAGAAGAGCAGAUAGAUGGUGGGAGGGUGAAAGGAAGGGCUACUUCAAGUUGCUCCAAAAACUGGGAGUGGGUGGGAAUUAAGUCUCUAUCAGGUCAAGUUAAUACUGGUUAGAAUUAGCAAAGUGACUGAGAGUGAGCCUUGGGGUUUAUUUUUUGGAAGGAGUCUAAAAGUCCUUCCCACAAAGCACUCCAGCUCCAUCUAAUGCAAUGCCUCUGAUUUGUCAUAGGCAAUUUCUAUGAACUUACGCUGUUUUCCCAGUGGACUGGAGUUUAUGUAUCUCUCUUAAUCUGCACAGCCCAGUGGGGAGAGAAUCUGUGUUUGUUCCCCUCCCAUCUCCUUGCUUACAAUUCCUGCUCCCAGCUGGCUUCAGGAACACCCUUGGCAGAGGGGGUAGUGGACCCUCCCUCCAUCCCCAAAAACUUAAAGAAUGUGCCUUGAUUAGAAGCACAAAGCAGAUCUCAAGAUGUGCUCAG